GGGCUGCGGCCAGGAAGGGGCCCAUGGGGUGGAGAGGCUGGGGUGGGCGGGUGAUCAGCAGCUUGGUGCAGAAGACUACGCUGCAGAGAAGCUAUGCUCGCAUUAUCUUUACUCUCGCUUAGUUCUCCUGCAACCUCCAGCGGUAGGACUAACAGGUGGAUUAUGCCCAUUUUACAGAGGAGGAGGGUGGGUCCGAGGUGAGGAGAGUCUCUGAGGAUGCGUUUGGACAGGAGCAGGGCCGGGAAGAGGGCUCCUGAUUUCCAGCCCCAUCGACAACAGAACAAGGGCCACGUGGGACCAGGAAAGGGAGCUCUUUGCCAGGACACCUGUGGGACAGGGGCCUGCUGGAUGAAGAGGGGUCAGGCGGUUGGUGGGCUACAUUUUCACCCUGCCAUGUGUAGCUGCAAUGAAAAGAGUGUGCUUUGAGGGGUGGAAUGACAUUCAGCAAAUGAGAAUGGAUUUGACCACCUCUGGGAGAGGAAAUGAUUGCCUUGUCACCACCACCUCCUGCUUUUCUCCCUUGCUGGCCGUCCUUCCUCCCACCACUGGCUUGUUUGGAAGUUGAGGACCCAAAGGAUCUGGGGUUCUGUGGCAUUUGUGGAAAACUCAUACAGCUCUCCUUCUGGAAGCAAAUGGAGACAGACGCGGAAGGGGGUGGGAUGGACUUGAUCUACCACGAAGACUGCUUACCACACUUCAACUGCCAACAGAUUCUUCUUGGACCCACUGGUUCUGCUGCAUGGGGCUGGCCAGCAACCCUUCCGUUAGCUGCGACCAACCAACUUCAUGCCCAGUAUUUCUGGCUUCUCCUGUCACUUCUGGUAUCUUGCACGGCCUCAGGAGGGGCUGGAUGAUGCAAUGAGUGUUUGCAGAGGAGUAAACUCCUCAUGAGAUGAAUUUUGACCAAUUGGAAACAGAAGAUGGGAGGAAGCCAGGAGGAUAGGAUAAACUCCCCCUCCUUCCUCUCCUGCUCUGAGAUAUAGUUUCUCUGUAUGGCCUGUCCCAGAAACAUGACAUCUCAUGUUGAGUGACCUGCUGUGUCACUUCAGGACUCAUUAGGAAACAAUGCCCAGCAAAGUAACCUCUCACCUUGCAUUGCUCCCAUCCUCUGCUAUAUGUAGGAGGCUUGGGGGACUUUGAGGCUGAUCCUGGAACAAGACAUGACCACAAGGUGGCAGUAUCACACACAGCUUUGUUUGGGAUGCUUGAUAGGUUUGAUGUUAUAUACAAAUUUCAAAUCCCAGGUGCACGUGAAAGGGGAGAAGGUUUUGGGUGAUGAAGUUCCUUCAGGCACUUCAAAUCAUGCCAUUUGAUAAAAGCAAGUGCGCGGUCCCACAACUCUUACCUAGGAGGAUCGGGCAGGACACCAUCAGCUCUUGUCAGGAAUCCCACUUAGGUUUGUUUGUGGCUUAAGACAAGUCCUACUCACACUUCACCUCUGAAAAAGGCAAUAUUGAGACUCCCGUGUGGGUUCCAAGUGGGACUGGAGUUUCUGACUCCUGUCUGAUCCACUGUCUCCACCCAUCCAACAUAAACGGAUGAAGAACUUAAUGUGGCCCUGUUUAAAAUUUUUGCAAAGA
ensembl:lncRNA